ACUCCUGCGGGAGGCAGCAGUGGGGAAUAUUGGACAAUGGGCGCAAGCCUGAUCCAGCCAUGCCGCGUGAGUGAUGAAGGCCCUAGGGUUGUAAAGCUCUUUCACCGGUGAAGAUAAUGACGGUAACCGGAGAAGAAGCCCCGGCUAACUUCGUGCCAGCAGCCGCGGUAAUACGAAGGGGGCUAGCGUUGUUCGGAUUUACUGGGCGUAAAGCGCACGUAGGCGGACUAUUAAGUCAGGGGUGAAAUCCCGGGGCUCAACCCCGGAACUGCCUUUGAUACUGGUAGUCUUGAGUUCGAGAGAGGUGAGUGGAAUUCCGAGUGUAGAGGUGAAAUUCGUAGAUAUUCGGAGGAACACCAGUGGCGAAGGCGGCUCACUGGCUCGAUACUGACGCUGAGGUGCGAAAGCGUGGGGAGCAAACAGGAUUAGAUACCCCGGUAGUCCC
rnacentral:rRNA from 1 species